UGGGGAAUAUUGCACAAUGGGCGAAAGCCUGAUGCAGCAACGCCGCGUGAGUGAUGAAGGCCUUCGGGUUGUAAAGCUCUGUCUUUGGGACGAUAAUGACGGUACCAAAGGAGGAAGCCACGGCUAACUACGUGCCAGCAGCCGCGGUAAUACGUAGGUGGCAAGCGUUGUCCGGAUUUACUGGGCGUAAAGGAUGCGUAGGCGGAUUUUAAGUGAGAUGUGAAAACCCUAAGCUUAACUUGGGACUGCAUUUCAUACUGGAAAUCUAGAGUGCGGGAGAGGAGAAUGGAAUUCCUAGUGUAGCGGUGAAAUGCGUAGAGAUUAGGAAGAACACCAGUGGCGAAGGCGAUUCUCUGGACCGUAACUGACGCUGAGGCAUGAAAGCGUGGGUAGCAAACAGGAUUAGAUACCCUGGUAGUCCACGCCGUAAACGAUGAGUACUAGGUGUAGGAGGUAUCGACCCCUUCUGUGCCGCAGUUAACACAAUAAGUACUCCGCCUGGGAAGUACGAUCGCAAGAUUAAAACUCAAAUGAAUUGACGGGGUCAUAGCUG
rnacentral:rRNA from 1 species